rnacentral:rRNA from 1 species
GGACGUAGAGCCUUAGUAGCGCGUCGUAGUCCGCUAAGCUGGAGCGGCAACGGGUCCGCGGCCUCUGCUGCUGCGGCUGCUCUACUGCCACAAGGUGAAGGAGUUGACGCGCCAGGAGUGGAAGCCGGGGGUGCAGCAGAUGAUGAGGCGGUGGGGGGACAGUCUCAUACUGUGCUAACCGUGGUCACAUUUUCGUCGACAACAAAUAGAACCUCGUCGUGAACAUUUCGAACAAACAAAUCGUUGCAAGGAGUUUCAUGGACUACGCUUACUAUCGAAACUAGGGAUGGUCCUUAAUUACUUUUAAGAUUAACCCAAAUAUCUACAACGACCGGAAAUAAAACGAAACUGUGUCAACUGGGUGUCUUUGUAGAGGGUCUUGGUAUUCAAGGUCCGACAACCAGAACCGACCCGAAAACGACUAAGUCAAGACGUGUCCGAACGUGGAGAGACCUAACCCCGUGCUCCCGAACUUAAAUGAACCCUCAUGUAUAAGGUUCCUGAACUUCGUUUACGGUUAGAACACUACUGGGAGAGGGAACGACGUAAUCCUAGGAACUACACCGACUCCUUCUUGUUUGGAUCCUGAAAUUAAGGUUAUUAAAUACGUACACGAGACGAAGACCGUUGUUACGGUAGAUAGUGGUCAAUGAACGCCUCUAGUAACCUCACCGUCUGAGGGUUCCACCAACCGAAGCUCGAGAAGAGGAGGAACCAAUACCGAAAGUAGUCGACCGUCGACAAGAGCCGAACAGUCUCCGGCUACAUUAGUUGCUUUGUUUCGUGACGCCCUAAACGGCCUCUAAACCACGAGGGUUCUACAGAGAACAACAUGAACCCGUUUUAAUCUUACGACGAAUCUCGGAGCCGCGAUGGCAUUGUAUAUAAAACUCCAAGUCAACGUCUUGCAAAAUGAAAUAAACAGCCGGUAUCACGUCUUUGUGUACUAGACUACUCACGAUGACGAUGACAUUGUCCACGAGAACAUCCUUAGCUCGAUUUUGCAUCGUGGAAUAAGGGACAACAUAGUGUAUAAGACGAGUUAUCGUAACGUAGAAGAUCAGACUUCGGUUCUGUAAGUGAAUACGGCUGUCUAAUACUCUUUUAUGUGACAGCAAAGUAGAAACCAUG